GUCAUGAUGGCUGAGCGGUCUAAGUCGCUGCGUUCAGGUUGCAGUCCAGCGACGAGGGUUCAAAUCCCUCCUCUGACA
rnacentral:tRNA from 1 species